CCUACGGGUGGCAGCAGUGGGGAAUAUUGCUCAAUGGGGGAAACCCUGAUGCAGCGACGCCGCGUGAAGGAAGAAGUAUCUCUGUAUGUUAACCUCCAUUUGUAGGGAAGUAAAUUACGGUACGUGACUAAUUUUGUCUGGCCAACUUCGUUCCAGCAGCCGCGGUUCCAUGCCGGGGGCGAGCGUAAUCCGGAUUUACCGGGUGUAAGGGGAGCGUAGGCGGUUUAGCAAGUCAGUAGUGAAAGUCUGCGGCUCAACUCCGGGACUGCUGUUGAAACUGUUGGACUAGAUUGCAGGAGAGGUAAGUGGAAUUCGUGGUGUAGCGGUGAAAUGCAUAGAUAUUAGGAAGAACACCGAUGGCGAAGGCAGCUUACUGGACUGUAAAUGACGCUGAGGCUCGAAAGCGUGGGGAGCAAACAGGAUUAGAUACCCUGGUAGUC
rnacentral:rRNA from 1 species